UGAGAUGGAGGUACAGGCUCGAAAGUGAGCAGGUUGAGGCUCCAGCAAGGCAUAGCUGCGCG
rnacentral:SRP_RNA from 13 species